ACUGGUCAGCUAGAGUCUUGUAGAGGGGGGUAGAAUUCCAUGUGUAGCGGUGAAAUGCGUAGAGAUGUGGAGGAAUACCGGUGGCGAAGGCGGCCCCCUGGACAAAGACUGACGCUCAGGUGCGAAAGCGUGGGGAGCAAACAGGAUUAGAUACCCUGGUAGUCCACGCUGUAAACGAUGUCGACUUGGAGGUUGUGCCCUUGAGGCGUGGCUUCCGGAGCUAACGCGUUAAGUCGACCGCCUGGGGAGUACGGCCGCAAGGUUAAAACUCAAAUGAAUUGACGGGGGCCCGCACAAGCGGUGGAGCAUGUGGUUUAAUUCGAUGCAACGCGAAGAACCUUACCUACUCUUGACAUCCAGAGAACUUAGCAGAGAUGCUUUGGUGCCUUCGGGAACUCUGAGACAGGUGCUGCAUGGCUGUCGUCAGCUCGUGUUGUGAAAUGUUGGGUUAAGUCCCGCAACGAGCGCAACCCUUAUCCUUUGUUGCCAGCGCGUGAUGGCGGGAACUCAAAGGAGACUGCCGGUGAUAAACCGGAGGAAGGUGGGGAUGACGUCAGGUCUUCCUGGCCCUUCCGAGUAGGGCUACCCCCGUGCUACAAUGG
rnacentral:rRNA from 1 species